rnacentral:lncRNA from 1 species
AAAUAUAAAUUAUCUGAUUAAAUAAUCUAAGUCAAUCUAAUAUUUUUAUAUAAAUAUUAAUGGCCUAAAUUUUUCUAAACGCGUGGUGAAGAUUGAGUAAAUAAAGAAUAUCCCGCCCAACACCCCAAAAUUAAAAUUUUACUAUAAUUAACAUUUAUACAAGAGUAAAAAUAUAAAAAAUAUAAAAAAUAUAAACACAUAAUUUAAAGUCUUCUUUGAAUGUCAUUCCCGAUAAGUAUUCUCGAUAACCUGUAUAAACACAAGUGAUAAAAAUGUUAGUAACAAAUAAAUAAUAAUUAAAAUAAAUUGAAAAAGUACGUAUGCAUAUACGUAUUUUAAAAUAUAAUUUUUGUUACACAGUGAGCUCAGAUAAAGUUUUGAAAUGUUAUAAAGAUUUCAUCAUUGCCCAAAAAUAUUUAUUUUUUUUGUUACUUAUUUGUAUACAUAAAAUCCAUCUUUUAUUUAUGAAGGCCUCAAAUAUACGAUGGAAAGAUAAUGUCAUUGGCUAAGUGUAGGCCUUUAAUAUAAAAUAAUAAUUUUAAUAAAAUAAAGUCCGUCUUUUUAAUGGGGUGGCCUCAAAUAUCCAGCGAAAAGAUAAUUUCAUUAGCCAAUUAUAGACCUUUAAUAUACAAUAAUAAUUUUAAUAAAAUAAAGUCCAUCUUUUGUAUUGGGGUGGCCUCAAAUAUUCGAUGGGAGAUAAUUUCAUUGGCCAUGUGUCGAUCUUUAUUCAUUACCAGUGUAGUAAAUUACAAAGUAAAGAAGGGACAAAAUAUCCAAAGCAGCCUAAAAGAAUCAGCUAAAUAAAAUAACUUUGGACGUAAAUUUUGAGUAAAAAAUAAUUCUAAAUUAGCCAAACAGUCCAAAUUCAACCCGUCAAUCAUGAAAUAAGAAAAAUAACUAAUACACAAUAAAGCCAAUAGACAAGAACCAAAAAUAAAGCGCAACAGAUCAAAACUUCUAGAGUCAGCCACAAAAUAAAGUUUACAUCGGGUAUUAAAUCAUUUCAAAUAGAUAUGUACAAAAUUAACACAAAAACAGCGAAACCCAGUCCACCAAAGGCAAAAAUUUAAAGUAAUAAUAAAAUAUCAGCGUUGCUUCAAUGGCGUUCGUCGGAGCAACGCUAAAAAUAUAAUAAACGGCCAGAUAUAGCCCUAUUUUUUGGUGGGCAGUGGGACAAGAAAAGGGAGCUCGCCCGCCUGUGACCAAAUUCGGCGAGGUGNNNNNNNNNNNNNNNNNNNNNNNAAGAGGGGAAAGGGGGCGACACCAGCAGUGGUGGCUUCUACUGGACUCGCCGGCAUUCACCUCCGACAAGCUAGUAGUGAAAUGGAGGAGCAGCGGCGACAGUGCUUUGGUGGUUGGGAGCCCGCCGGUGGAAUGUUUUACCAAUCACAUCGACUGGAUUUGUGGAGGUUGCAGGCUGGUGAGGGGUUGGUUUUUUGUUGGUGGUGUAGAAGAGAAAGGUAGCAGCCAUGGUUGUUUCCAUGGAGAGGAGGAGAGAGUGGAGGAAGAUUAGAGAGAGAAAGUGAGAGCGGAGAGAAGAUUAUGCGUG